rnacentral:lncRNA from 1 species
UGCAAGACAAAAGAGUAUAUGGACUUUGACUUUCCUUUACAUAUUCUUGUGUGAUAUCUCAAGACUCUUUCAGUUUGGUUUGCUACCAUCCUAUAAGACUUGAGAAGUAAGAACUAUUUAUUAAGUUUUAGUAACCUUGGAUCAUAUCAUUAGUCUUCUGUGCUCUCUGUGUACCCUCUUCUCCAUGCUCAUGUCUUUUCAAACAAAGAUUAGAGGACAAAACCAGUUUUCCAUUUCUGUAGGCUAAGAACUUCCCAGCUACAGAAUACUAUAGGUCUUACACUACCUGAGGGGUUGUUGCUAUCUGUAAUUGAGUCUUCAUGGAAGGUUUUUAGUCUCUUAUAAAGAUCUAACUGGUCAUCUCAUUGUUUCCCCAGUGAAGGUGCCUGGUGCCCUGAAACUCCCUGUGAAUUUGCUGGUGACCUCACUCAUCAACCUUUGGGAUAGCAGUCAGUGUUCGCUCUCUGCUUUUCAAAAAGAGAUACUUGACUAUCUGAGCUUGGCUCACAAGGAGGCUUCCCAGGCAAAAGGAGAAUAUUAUAUGGACUUUUUCAUUGACCUACUUUUUAAGGAAUGUAGAGGAGUGGAAAAUGGAGGUUGUUGAUUCUGCCUUAUGGAUGAAAUAUAGAAAACCUUAAACACAUACUUAAUGUAUAUCUGUGAUUUCAUUUUGAUGAAGAAAGACUCAUUGAUUUGGUAAAGUUACUCAGAAAGUGUUUUAACUUGAAGAUUGGACUGCAUUUAUCAUUGAGGAAAGAGUGAAUUUUCUCAAUAAAUCACUAUUAUAAGUCA